rnacentral:rRNA from 1 species
AGUGAACGCUGGCGGUAGGCCUAACACAUGCAAGUCGAACGGCAGCACAGUAAGAGCUUGCUCUUACGGGUGGCGAGUGGCGGACGGGUGAGGAAUACGUCGGAAUCUACUUUUUCGUGGGGGAUAACGUAGGGAAACUUACGCUAAUACCGCAUACGACCUACGGGUGAAAGCAGGGGAUCUUCGGACCUUGCGCGAUUGAAUGAGCCGAUGUCGGAUUAGCUAGUUGGCGGGGUAAAGGCCCACCAAGGCGACGAUCCGUAGCUGGUCUGAGAGGAUGAUCAGCCACACUGGAACUGAGACACGGCCCAGACUCCUACGGGAGGCAGCAGUGGGGAAUAUUGGACAAUGGGCGCAAGCCUGAUCCAGCCAUACCGCGUGGGUGAAGAAGGCCUUCGGGUUGUAAAGCCCUUUUGUUGGGAAAGAAAAGCAGCAGGUUAAUACCCCGCUGUUCUGACGGUACCCAAAGAAUAAGCACCGGCUAACUUCGUG